rnacentral:rRNA from 1 species
UACGUAGGUGGCGAGCGUUGUCCGGAUUUACUGGGCGUAAAGGGAGCGUAGGCGGACUUUUAAGUGAGAUGUGAAAUACCCGAGCUCAACUUGGGUGCUGCAUUUCAAACUGGAAGUCUAGAGUGCAGGAGAGGAGAAUGGAAUUCCUAGUGUAGCGGUGAAAUGCGUAGAGAUUAGGAAGAACACCAGUGGCGAAGGCGAUUCUCUGGACUGUAACUGACGCUGAGGCUCGAAAGCGUGGGGAGCAAACAGGAUUAGAUACCCG